GACGAACGCUGGCGGCGUGCUUAACACAUGCAAGUCGAACGGUGAAGGGACUGGUUUUGCUGGUCCUGGAUGAGUGGCGAACGGGUGAGUAACACGUGAGUAACCUGCCCCCUUCUUCUGGAUAACCGCAUGAAAGUGUGGCUAAUACGGGCUAUUCUGGGUCUGUCGCAUGGUGGGCCUGGGAAAGAUUGCGCCUUUUUUGGUGUUUUUGGUGGGGGAUGGGCUCGCGGCCUAUCAGCUUGUUGGUGGGGUGAUGGCCUACCAAGGCGGUGACGGGUAGCCGGCCUGAGAUGGUUGACGGUCACACUGGCAGUGAGACACGGUCCAGACUGCUACGGGGGGCAGGAGUGGUCAAUAGUGCACGAUGGGGGCAAGUCUGAUGCAGAGACAGAGCGUGAGAGAUGGAGGCCGUCGGGUUGUAAACCUCUUGCGCCAGUGCAACAGGCCUGCCUCUUUGUGUGGGUGGGUUGACGGUAGCUGGAUAAGCAGCGCCGGCUAACUACGUG
rnacentral:rRNA from 1 species